GGAAGGUGGGGACGACGUCAAGUCCUCAUGGCCCUUAUGCCUAGGGCUGCAAACGUGCUACAAUGGUACGGACAGAGCGAGGCGAUCCUGCGAAGGUGAGCAAAUCGCAAAAACUGUGCCCCAGUUCGGAUAGCAGGCUGCAAUUCGCCUGCUUGAAGUUGGAAUCGCUAGUAAUCGCGGAUCAGCUACGCCGCGGUGAAUGUGUUCCUGAGCCUUGUACACACCGCCCGUCAAGUCAUGGAAGCCGGGAGUGCCCAAAGUCACGUCAUUUCAGGCGUGCCUACGGCAAGUUCGGUGACUGGGACUAAGUCGUAACAAGGUAGCCGUACCGGAAGGUGUGGCUGGAACACCU
rnacentral:rRNA from 1 species